UUAUUUCUUCUCAUAACACGCGCGAUAGGUUAAUAAACGCACCAAAAAUUUGCGACUGUGACAUCUCUAUGCGGAAGCUUCCGGUUCAAUUGGCAGAUUUGGAUCCGAUACAAUGUCCCAACAUUCCUCUCCAUCGGCUCUCAAUUCUCAAUGGCGAAGUGCUCAAUCGGGAGUUGUCGACCUUCUGAAGCACAUCUUAGCGAGUGGGGAAAUGAGCGAUGUGCUGUUUACAGUCGGACGUCAGUAUGGCGAAGUAAAGACCUUCCCAGCCCAUAAAUUCGUAUUGAGCCUUAACAGCGACGUCUUCCACACUAUGUUUAAUGGAGCUUUACCCGAAAGUGGCGACGGCGCCAUUGAUAUCCCGGAGAUUCUACCAGAUGCUUUCACCAACAUGCUCAAGUAUAUGUACACUCGUUGCCUGGACAAUGAGCUGCAAGUCGACAAUGUUUUCGAGACGAUUUACUGUGCUGACAAGUACAACCUACCAAAACUGCUAGAACUCUGCUUGCACUUUGCCACCACCCAACUGAACGCCGAUAAUUGCCUAAUCUUUGCGGAAAAGAUUAAACUUUGUACGCAUGAUGGUAUGGCUGCAUUUCUGGAGAAGUGCUUGAAUCUGUUGGACAAACACUGUGAUAUCCUUAUGCAAUCGGAGCAGUUCAGCGCCAUUGGACACGAUACACUGGAAAUGAUUUUACAGCGGAACACUUUAUCCGCUGGUGAAAAUAGGAUGUACACGGCCGUAGAAAAGUGUUGCAGGUGGGCAACAGAUAACUGCCUUCGGGAAAAUCUUGAACCAUCGCAGGCUAAUCGGCGCCGAUUAUUGGGAAACGCGUUGUUUCUCGUUCGUAUGCCUCUGCUGACCGAUGCAGAACUGGCUAACGGUCCAGUAAAAAGUCGCUUGCUGCUUGAUUCCGAAUUGCUGGACAUUUACCAGUUCAAACAUUCCGACAGCAAACCACAACUUCCCUUUCCGACGGAACCCAGGCAAGGCAGAUCGCUGAUUCCCAGCGGGUACUCUGCCGGGCUACGUGACAAGUCGUCGCGAGACAGUUCGUCGCGGGACAUUUCGUCGGCGACAGUUCGUUUAAAGGACUUGUGGUCGUGAGACAACUCGUAUUUGGACGUUCCGUUUUAAGGACAUUUCGUUUUCGGAAGUUUCGUUAACGCGACAAUUGGUAGCAAACUCCUCGUUGCCAGGCUAGGACAUUUCGGCGCACGGACUUUUCGUUGGAUGGACUUUUCGUUGUGUGAAAUUUUUUAUAUUCAAGCCGAAUUUAAUGACAAAUCAGAGUCGCCAAGAAGAAAGUAUUAAUAAAAUAUAAAAAUAAUAAAACCGAAGAGGAAACAGUUAGUAAAAAUCGUGAAAUGAGUUUAAUUAACCGCGAUCGUUAUUGCUCAAAAUUACAAAAACUGAGGCAUGCAAAAGUUUAAUUAACCACACCAUAGUUCGACACAUUCAAGAUUUAGCAAACAAAAACAUCCUGCUUCUGCUAAUGAAAACAUGCGUAACUGACCGCUCACACACUCAAUUCCAGGUUUGCCGCAAUGUUUCGCAAGAAUCAGACCUUGUCAUGGUUGCUAUAGUCCUUGACGAUGUUGGCAAGGCGGUCAAACUGGAAUUGUAACCUCAAGCAGAAAAGUUGAGGAAAUAUUUGUUUACGAGCGACUGAUUCUGAAAGUUUGGUUUUGCCACUGAAAAACAGAUUUUUGGAAUAAAUCAGCACUUCUCUGGCAUUACAACCAGAAGGCAGAUGGGAAAGGUAAUGUCAUCCUUCAAACACGGAGACAAUUGAAUAUCACUGACACUUAAGUGCGAUCUGUGUCAGUGUAGCCCAGAAACUAUUAAUUUUAUUCAUGCAGUUUCUGUAGUGGUCAAAAUGGACUGCGUGACGGAAACUGGGACACCUUUUAUCGCUGUCUUGCAAUGAGAAAGUGAUUCUGCGUUACGAUGUCUGCUGUGCACACGUAUGAGUAAUUGAUAGACUGUACAGUGUGCGCAGAGAAGCCUGUUCGUUGCUAAAAUUUCGACCUAAAUUAAUAAUGGCAAUCAAGGCUCUCUCGCCUUUCACACUGUUAAUCGUACAUAAACUUCAAAUACAGACAAUUACUAUAAUAUAAUUAGUCACUCAAGUUGCCGGUUAGCCAUAAAGGCCCAUAAUGCACAAUUUUCUAGUACCUUAACUGCAGAAACCACAUAAAUAUUGAAUAUUAAUAUACAGUAUUCGUAAUAGUGUUUCUGUAUAAGACAGCGCAGUUUUUAGAUUUUACUGCAUGUACUUAUUACACGCAAGUACCUAAUUGAAUAACUGGGUAAGUUUGUUUAAUAUCUGUUAAUAAUCGAAAUAUAACGUUUUCGAAAUUUUUAAAAAUAAGGAAUUAUACCAUAUGUUGGGCUUGUCUAAAUGAGAAAAAUUUUGAGUGAAACGGCGGUAUAUUCAAGCUAAAAUUAAACAUUUUCAAUUAAAAAAAUUGCGAAUCCAAUUGUCCUCACGACGAAAUGUCUGAACUCGAGUUGUCCGUGUACCCAAAUGUCUGAUUACCAGAUGUCUCGAGACGAAAAGUCUAGCGACGACAAGUCCUUAGACGAACUGUCCCCGCGACGAAAAAUGGCCGACCAAGUGUCCCGCGACGAGAUUUUAUGCGACGACUUGGUCGGUCACGCUCUGCCGAACUCACACCCAGUGAUGAGGUGUUUGUGGACUUUGAUUCUGGUGAGGAGUACUGGCGUCCGGCCCAGUUGGUUUCGUUACAUGGAGUGGAUAUGGUUGCUGUAACGCAGAAUGGAGGAUUUACUCUGACUAACUGUCCGCGGAGCAAGGUUAUUCGUGCCGCAGAGGUACUGAAAAGAGGGCAGAGAAUUUUUGCUGUAGAUGGGGAGGUUUAUAGCGAGUGCACAUACCUUAAUAACAUUACUCUUCGUCGCACUAUUUAUCACGUCGUUUCCACUGGCGAACCACACUUCAGCGAAUCCAGACGUAGGUUUGUUAGCCUAAGGAUUAGCCGCAACCAGAUGGCGGCUUGGGCUUCAUCCAUUGCUAGGUUCGUAUUGAGCCCUAACGGCGACGCCUUCCACAAUAUGUUAAAUGGAGCGAUGCCUGGGAAUGGCAACUGGGCCAUUGAUAUCCCGGAGAUUCUACCAGAGACCUUCAUCUGCAACAUUCUCAGGUUGGGCGUGCGCU